GCAUGCAUGGCGUAGUGGUUUGAGUGUUGGACUAUGACUCUGGAGACCAGCAUUCAAUUCCCUGUUCAGCCA